UACGGAGGGGGCUAGCGUUGUUCGGAAUUACUGGGCGUAAAGCGCGCGUAGGCGGACCUGCAAGUCGGGGGUGAAAGCCCGAGGCUCAACCUCGGAACUGCCUUCGAUACUGCGGGUCUCGAGUCCGGGAGAGGUGAGUGGAAUUCCUAGUGUAGAGGUGAAAUUCGUAGAUAUUAGGAAGAACACCAGUGGCGAAGGCGGCUCACUGGCCCGGUACUGACGCUGAGGCGCGAAAGCGUGGGGAGCAAACAGGAUUAGAUACCCUGGUAGUCCACGCCGUAAACUAUGGGUGCUAGCCGUCGGUCGGCAUGCCGGUCGGUGGCGCAGCAAACGCAUUAAGCACCCCGCCUGGGGAGUACGGUCGCAAGAUUA
rnacentral:rRNA from 1 species